rnacentral:rRNA from 1 species
GACAGCAGUCGCCGCGGUAAUACGAAGGGGGCUAGCGUUGUUCGGAUUUACUGGGCGUAAAGGGCGCGUAGGCGGACUGAUAAGUCAGGGGUGAAAUCCCAGAGCUCAACUCUGGAACUGCCUUUGAUACUGGGUAUCUUGAGUAUGGAAGAGGUGAGUGGAAUUCCGAGUGUAGAGGUGAAAUUCGUAGAUAUUCGGAGGAACACCAGUGGCGAAGGCGGCUCACUGGUCCAUUACUGACGCUGAGGUGCGAAAGCGUGGGGAGCAAACAGGAUUAGAUACCCCAGUAGUCCCUGUCUCUUAUAC